rnacentral:rRNA from 1 species
GACGAACCGUGCGAACGUUGUUCGGAUUCACUGGGCUUAAAGGGCGCGUAGGCGGGCGGUCAAGUCAGGGGUGAAAUCCCACGGCCCAACCGUGGCAGUGCCUUUGAUACUGGCCGUCUCGAGGGAGGUAGGGGCAUGCGGAACUUCCGGUGGAGCGGUGAAAUGCGUAGAUAUCGGAAGGAACGCCGGUGGCGAAAGCGGCGUGCUGGACCUCUUCUGACGCUGAGGCGCGAAAGCCAGGGGAGCGAACGGG